rnacentral:rRNA from 1 species
UAUUGGACAAUGGGCGAAAGCCUGAUCCAGCCAUGCCGCGUGAGUGAUGAAGGCCCUAGGGUUGUAAAGCUCUUUUAACGGGGAAGAUAAUGACGGUACCCGUAGAAUAAGCCCCGGCUAACUUCGUGCCAGCAGCCGCGGUAAUACGAAGGGGGCUAGCGUUGCUCGGAAUCACUGGGCGUAAAGCGCACGUAGGCGGACUCUUAAGUCAAAGGUGAAAUCCUGGAGCUCAACUCCAGAACUGCCUUCGAUACUGGGAGUCUCGAGUUCGGGAGAGGUGAGUGGAACUGCGAGUGUAGAGGUGAAAUUCGUAGAUAUUCGCAAGAACACCAGUGGCGAAGGCGGCUCACUGGCCCGAUACUGACGCUGAGGUGCGAAAGCGUGGGGAGCAAACAGG